GACGUACGCUGGCGGCGUGCCUAAUACAUGCAAGUCGAACGCAGUGGGGACGGGUGAGUAACACGUGGGUAACCUCCCAUCAGAGGGGAUAACACUUGGCAACAGGUGCUAAACCUAUACUGAUGGGUGGACCCGCGGUGCAUUAGCUAGUUGGGGAGGUAACGGCUCACGAAGUCCAAGAUGCAUAGGCGACCUGAGAGGGUGAUAGGCCACACUGGUAGUGAGACAGAGCCCAGACUCCUACGGUAGGCAGCAGUAGGGAAUCUUCGGAGAUGGACGAAAGUCUGAUCGAGCAACGCCGCGUGAGUGAAGAAGGUUUUAGGAUCGUAAAACUCUGUUGUUAGAGAAGCGGUAUCUAACCAGAAAGCCACGGCUAACUACGUGCCAGCAGCCGCGGUAAUUC
rnacentral:rRNA from 1 species